rnacentral:rRNA from 1 species
AUUGAACGCUGGCGGCAGGCCUAACACAUGCAAGUCGAGCGGAAACGAUCCUAGCUUGCUAGGAGGCGUCGAGCGGCGGACGGGUGAGUAACGCGUGAGAAUCUACCCAUGAGUGGGGGACAACCCGGGGAAACUCGGGCUAAUACCGCAUACGCCCUACGGGGUAAAGCAGGGGACCUUCGGGCCUUGCGCUGAUGGAUGAGCUCGCGUCGGAUUAGCUUGUUGGUGAGGUAAAGGCUCACCAAGGCGACGAUCCGUAGCUGGUCUGAGAGGAUGAUCAGCCACACCGGGACUGAGACACGGCCCGGACUCCUACGGGAGGCAGCAGUGGGGAAUCUUGGACAAUGGGGGCGACCCUGAUCCAGCCAUGCCGCGUGUGUGAAGAAGGCCUUCGGGUUGUAAAGCACUUUCAGCAGGGAGGAAGGCUUACCCCUAAUACGGGUGAGUACUUGACGUUACCUGCAGAAGAAGCACCGGCUAAUUUCGUG